GACGAACCGUGCGAACGUUGUUCGGAAUCACUGGGCUUAAAGGGCGCGUAGGUGCGGCUAGUGCAAGUCAGGGGUGAAAGCCCACGGCUCAACCGUGGAAGUGCCUUUGAUACUGCGUGCCUUGAGCGAGGUAGGGCGUGCGGAACUUCCGGUGGAGCGGUGAAAUGCGUAGAUAUCGGAAGGAACACCGGUGGCGAAAGCGGCGCGCUGGACCUCUUCUGACGCUGAGGCGCGAAAGCCAGGGGAGCAAAGCGGG
rnacentral:rRNA from 1 species